GACCCAGAGGACCCCCAGAACAAUGCAACGUUUGUGGAAUGUUUUAAAUAAAGUUAUGGUUAAAAAAAGUCAGUCACAGUGCACAUGUUUUCAAUAAUAAGCCCCGCCCCAAACAUUUCAAGCUUUCACACCGGAUUGGCUGACCGUUGUGCCACUAUUUAAACUCCUGUGUUGACAGCUGCACCAGAGGGAGAGGAGAUGCUGACAGAUCACAGAUCAUCAACGCAAACCUGCUGCAAACCCGGACUGGUAUUCAUGGACGGACUGAACUGGAUUCGGUUUGCUGGUUGUGUAAGCUGACCAUUCGUGCCAGUAUUCAAACUGCUGACAGAUCACAGAUAAUCCUGAGUUUAAUCCUUUGCUAAAGAGAGGAAAGUAAGAGUGGACGUAUUAUUGAUACAAAAUCAUCCACCAUUACCCCUCAUCACCAACUACCGUUUACUUGGAAAUAAAAUAUUGGAACUUGGAAAGCUGCCUGGAUCCUGUGUUUAAAUGUGCACCCAACAUAUGAUGUUCAGUGAAUCACCGCCACUAUAGUGUACAGUUUUUUCAUAUUUGUGUCUCCAUCAACAUAUGCAGCGCACCUUUGCACUCAGGCAUGAAGAAACUGGGAAUUCAGCUCCUCCUUGCCAAACUAAAAGAGACACGACCUGCACUCUUUAGUGAAGCUCAACUCUACAGUGAAUUCCACAGAAUCACCAAUCCAUAUCUACCAUUGUCCUUCUACACUGCACUUGACAAAUAUGCACCCCAGCUGCUGAAACUUGAACAGAAGAGGAAGACUGGAAGUUUUGGAUGAGUUGGAAGCAACCCAAGAGGGGCAGUGGCUCUGGUGGCAGUAGUGAAUGAAGAUCAGGUUCCUGCUGGAGUUCCCUUUGAAACUCACCAUGUGUCUCUGGUCCUCACAAU